GGAAGUCACUAAAUUCUUUUUCAAGUUCACUAGCCUUAUGAACAAGAGAUAAAUUCACUUAAAUUUUUGGAGCCCUAGUUUCCUCUUCUGUUCAAGAGACUCCUUGCCUGAGAAACAGGUUUAUCUGUGCCCAGAAAGGGUCGUCUAAGCCAGGGAGCAUCCCCAUGACCCACCUAAGACUUUCUCAUGACUACGAUGGGAGGUAAGCGAUGGCAAGCCUUUUUAUAGAAGAGGAAAUAGGCACUCACAGAGGUUAAGCGACUUGCACAGAGUUGACCAGCUUGCAGUGGAGCCAGGACCCUACUCUUUCAACCAACACUCAACUGCCCAGCUCUCACCCAGGUCUGCUUUGAUUCCCAGGGCAGCAAUGUGACAGGACUUAAAGAAAAGGGAUGAAUGUGCGCAGGGAGGGUUGCUGGCUCAGUGGGAAUGCCUUGGCAUUUGGAUAAUUCUUUGAGUCAGAAAAUGCACGGUCCUAGGCAACGCAGGGUCCCAAUUUAGCAUCCUUGUUCCUGAGGCAUGAGAUACCAGUAGGACUGCCUACCUAAUUAUUGGGUCAAAGGUUAAUCAGUGGUAAAGAAUUCGCCUACCAAUGCAGGAGAUACAGGUUUGAUCCCUGGGUAGAGAAGAUUCCCUGGAGGAGGAAAUGGCAAUCCACUCUAGUAUUCUUGCCUGGAAAAUUCCAUGGUCUGAGAAGCCUCACGGGCUACAGUCCAUGGGGUUGUGAAGAGUCGACACAGCUAAGCACAUACAUACACAUAUUUUUAAAGCCCUCCCACUCCUCUCUCCUCCCUGCCACUGAGAACCACAGGUCUGUGGUCUCAGCUUUCUCAGUUUCGGACACCGGUCCUCUUUCUUUUGUCCACCCCCUGCCAUUCUUCUUUUCUCCCAGGGCAGUUUCAGGACAUGCUUCUCUUGGACCCUAUCAGCUAGAAAGCAUCAAGAGUUACUGAAGCUUGAGCCCCCAAGCCUCUGAGGCUUAAGGAGUGAAGUGAAAGUCUCAGUCACGUCAGAGUCUUUGCAACCCCAUGGACUGUAGACUGCCAUGCUCCUCUGUCCGUGGGAUUCUCCAGGCAAGAAUACUGGAGUGGGUUGACAUUUCCUUCGCCUAGGGAUCUUUCCAACCCAGGGUUCAAACCCGGAUCUCCUGCAUUGCAGGCAGACUCUUUAUGGACUGAACCGCCAGGGAAGCUGAGGCUUAAGGAGGCUGUUCC
ensembl:lncRNA